UACGUAGGGACCGAGCGUUGCUCGGAUUCAUUGGGCGUAAAGAGCUCGUAGGCGGCCACUCAAGUCGAAUGUGAAACCUCGAGGCUUAACCUCGAGCCUGCAUUCGAUACUGGGCGGCUAGAGUCGUGGUAGGGGGAUCUGGAAUUCCUGGUGUAGCGGUGGAAUGCGCAGAUAUCAGGAGGAACACCGGUGGCGAAGGCGGGAUCCUGGGCCAGUACUGACGCUGAGGAGCGAAAGCGUGGGGAGCAAAC
rnacentral:rRNA from 1 species